UCAUCGAGUCGGAGAUCGUAAGGAUGGCAGGUAGUAGGUGGAGGUCCAUGAUCGCCAUCGUCGCAAGACCGGCACCUCGGUAACGUAAAAACCUUGGACAGCCUACCGUAGUCAAUUACUGAAAUACCUUGUUACCAUAUCUCCAAUACCUUUUUCCUCAUUUCGUCAUUAUGUAGCAUUUUGAGUCUCGCUGUAAGAUUAAAUUAAAUGAUGCAGUGAAAAUUAUCAUAAGAAUGUUGCUUCACUGCAAGGAGAAAUCUAGUAAAAGAGUGAUGCAACGAGACAAUAAGUGUUUGUGUCAUUGGCAGACACAAGUUUUAUUUAUUUUUCAAGAUACUGCAGUGAAAAAUGCUUGGAAUUGAUUAAGAUUUAUAGUGAAUUACAAAAUGGUACUUGAAGAGCAGAAACAAGGCCCCGUGUGAUGAUAAGUAAACAAUCACUCGUAGAUAUUUGAUAAAGUAUCUCGUUACAGGGUCUUCGAUACUUCGUUAGAUAUUUCGUCAUUACGUGGUGUUUAGAUUGCCUUGUGGCACUAGGUAAAAUAAAUAAAUGACAGAAUGUAAAUAAAGUUCUAAUGUGAUGAUAACUGAAUUCGUAACUUGGAGGGCAAGGAUGUUACAUUUUAUUCUUGAGUAAGGUUGGUACACUGGUAGCCCUCGCAAAGCAACAACGGCCAGCAGGUGGCGCGCUGCGCCGCCAGACCUCACCACUGCAAUCCACGUGAACUAGUCAGCUGCUGUUCUCUCUGGCCAUGAUGAAGGGAGCCAUGUCACCUCCAGCCUAGCAGCGCCGUGAGCAACGCCGGCAGUGUGCAGUCAGAUGAUUAAUUAACUACCAUCACUUCUUGUAGCUGUCUGAGUUUUGCAUGAGUACUCUCAAGGAAUAUUAUCUUGUCAAUGAGUUUGACAUGUUUACUACAGAGCUGUAAAUCACAACUGACAUAUAUCUCCUACCACGUCCUUCCCCACACUGGUCAAAAGAGAUUACCCACAUCCUUUGUGAUCAUCUACGAGUGCCAGUAGGCAGAGAGGAUUGGCACUGCUUGCUUACUUGAGAAAAUCAGCAUUCUCUUGUUUGUCUACCCUUACAUAAACCUCAAUAUCCAAAUCCAGUCUCAUCUUUGCUACUCUGUCUACUUGUCCCCUGCAGUCAACAUCUCUAACUGAGGAUUUUAGGGUAGCUCUUGGUGUGGCCACCAAAUAUUUUGUGGCAGUCAGACAUAUUAAUAAUGCCAGCAGUGAGACAUUCACUCAUAUGAUAAAAAAAUCUAUAGAACUUAAAAAAAAGUAACUUCCAGAUAUCCUAAUACUUGAUUGCAUUCCUUCUCUUCUGUAGAAUGUCCUGCAGUUGGUUAGGGAAGGAGUCUACAAGUUUUUGUAGAAGUUCCUUUGGCAGUUUAUUCAACAGUUUCACCAGCACUUUUCUUCAAUUUUGCUAAAGAACUAAUGUCCACUUCUGGAAGCUCCCUUUUCAUUAUAGACCAGAUUUUCAAUGGAAUUCAACUAAUGACUAUUAGGUGGCCAGUCAAAGUAAUCCAGAGUACACGUAUCAAAACAUUCUAAAACUAAUUUUGUGUGUGACAGAGAGCAUUGUCCAACAUAAAAGAUUCUGCCUUACAUUUGUUAAAACAAUCUUCAAGAUUGUUGUGCAGGAUGUCUAAAUAUCACUCGCUGUUCACAGUAUCACCUUUAUCAAGAAACAGAAGCUUACCUACUUCAUGGUAUGAAAAACAUGCCCACACUAUGAGUGAAUCUGGAUGUCGCUCCACAGUGUACUAUGGGUUAUAGCGGUCAGAGUUCCUGGGCUGCCUCAAUUUUGCAUGUUUAGUUCCUGUCACAGUAAAGACACUUUCAAAUGACCACAUUUUCUCCAGGGGUAAAUCUUAGUGUUUCUUAGCAAGAGCAAGUUGCUUUCCUAAGUAAGAGUGGCUUUUUAGGAGCUGACCUUGAAAAAAAACAAAACAUGUAACACCACGCUGCACACAUCACCCAGUAAGGCAUGAUUGCUUUCUUUCAGUUAAUGUGCUUUGCUUAUUGGUUGAGAAGAGUGUUAGAAUUAAUUACAUUUCUGUGGUUGUCCACCUUUUAGUAAGUGUGCAGUUAUCUAUCUGUCCCCUGCCUUGUAGCAAUGCUUCAACCACCUUUUAACCCCUUCCUUACCGCAUCACCUGGUGAUGUAAACAAAGCGUUCCCCCUCAUACCACAACGCCCUUGCCUGUACAUCUGUGCACCUCACGCCCAUUGUUUUACCUAAAGUUUAUUUCUAACUCAAUGAUAUUCACUUAAUUUGAAAUAUAUUUUUAUAGCGAGAGAAAAAAAACACAAAACAGUUACUACAGUAAUGGAAGAAAAUGU